rnacentral:lncRNA from 1 species
AGGACACUAUCAUUGGAGGACAAGAGCGCCACGACUCAAAUUAAUGCAAGAAGACAAAAAGAAGGAAAAGAAUACAAAAAAAAGGAGGGGGGACCCUCCGUAAAGAUGAACCUGACUUCAUUGAUCAAAUAAAUUUCAAGUAUAAGAGAAUAAAAGAAAAAUCACCACGAAGAAAAAAUACAAAACUAGAGGUUUCGAACCUCUGGGGCAGAAGUAGAGAGGGUCGGCAUCCCC